UGUCACGCCAGUGGCAUUGCCGGGUAGCUAUGUUCGGAAAAGAUAACCGCUGAAAGCAUCUAAGCGGGAAACUUGCCUCAAGAUGAGAUCUCACUGGGAACUUGAUUCCCCUGAAGGGCCGUCGAAGACUACGACGUUGAUAGGCUGGGUGUGUAAGCGUUGUGAGGCGUUGAGCUAACCAGUACUAAUUGCCCGUGAGGCUUGACCAU
rnacentral:rRNA from 2 species